ACAUGCCUACAACAUAGCGUUAAUGCACCGGAUCCCAUUAGAAAUCUGCAGUUAAGCACACUUGAGCUAGAGUAGUACUAGGAUGGGUGACUUCUUGGGAAGUCCUAGUGUUUCACAUGCC
rnacentral:rRNA from 1 species